rnacentral:rRNA from 1 species
UGAGGAAUAUUGGUCAAUGGGCGCAAGCCUGAACCAGCUACCCCGCGUGCAGGAAGACGGCCCUAUGGGUUGUAAACUGCUUUUCCAGGGGGAGAAUUUUUCUGUCGUGACAGGAAUUGACGGUACCCUGGGAAUAAGUAUCGGCUAACUCCGUGCCAGCAGCCGCGGUAAUACGGAGGAUGCGAGCGUUAUCCGGAUUUAUUGGGUUUAAAGGGUGCGUAGGCGGAUUGAUAAGUCAGUGGUGAAAACCUGCAGCUUAACUGUAGACUUGCCGUUGAUACUGUCAGUCUUGAGUGUGGUCAAGGUAGGCGGAAUGUGUAAUGUAGCGGUGAAAUGCUUAGAUAUUACACAGAACACCGAUUGCGAAGGCAGCUUACUGGGCCAUUACUGACGCUGAUGCACGAAAGCGUGGGGAUCGAACAG